UUUGAGCCGAGGGGCCUAGCGGAAACGCCAGAUUGGCGCUAAUCAGAAACGUUAGCAAGUGAGCCCGCAUCUUCGUUGUAAUCUGAUAACGACGGGAUGAGAUACUGUGUCCAUCGCAAGGGACACGUCAGAUAGUAGCAAA
rnacentral:sRNA from 12 species